GCUUUGUGUUUUGGCUGCAGCGUCCAUCUCUUGGAGUCCGUGUGUCGUCCACAAGGGCCGAGGCGGUUCUGCUGUGAUUUCUCCCCCGGUGGUCAGCCAGCCACCCGGUACCAUUUUUGUAAAGUCUUUCCCCCUGAGUUUGAAGUGACACCCAUCCCCGUGUGCUGUCACGUGUGGAGAGUUCGCGCCCGGCAGACGGGAGGUGCCGCGUGCCCGCUGAGCCAGCUUUUCACACGGCCUGCUCGUGGGCAGCGUCCCAAGCGAGUCUGCUUUGGUAAGUGUGGCUGCGCUGAUUUGGCCUCAGUCUUGUCUCUUGGGGGCUCAGUGCCCCGCGGAGCAGUGAGGUGGCUCCGAGGGCGUGGCCACGCCAGCGCAGACCCCUCCCUGGCUAAGCCGGGGGGUGGUUUAAACGCACCACGCCCUCUUUUGGUGCAGGCAUGUGGCAGUGGUGUCUGGUGGCCACAGCGACUGCUGCCCUCACCUUUCACUGGGAUUUUUUUUUUUAAGAUUAUUUAUUUGAAAGACAGAUUUAUAGAGAGGCAGCGAGAGAGGUCUUCCAUCCGCUGGUUCUCCCCAGUUGGCUGUAAUGGCCGGAGCUGGGCUGAUCCGAAGCCAGGAGCCAGGAGGUUCUUCCGGGUCUCCCACGCGGGUACAGGGGCCCAAGCACUUGGGCCAUCUUCUGCUGCUUUCCCAGGCCACAGCAGCUUGCCGGAUCGGAAGUGGAGCAGCCGGGACUUGAACUGGCACCCGUGUGGGAUGCCGAUCCUGUCCGCACAGCAGCUUCCUAGGUCCCCGCCCCGCGCAGGGCGGGUGCCGAGUUCGCCUUUCGCCUGGACUUCAGCGGAGUGUGCUCACGAGGUCACAGGGCCGCUGCUCCUGGCACUGCAGUGCUACCAGCAGGCCCUGUGCACUUGGGAGCAGCAGCGGGGCCGUGCGCGAGGCCUGCUGUGCGCACCCAGGUCGGGAAGUGAGCUGCGGCGCGGAGCCCGCCGCCUGGCCUCCUGGGGCAGGGCUGGCUCCGGUGGCAGCUGA
rnacentral:lncRNA from 1 species